rnacentral:rRNA from 1 species
AUUGAACGCUGGCGGCAGGCCUAACACAUGCAAGUCGAACGGUAACAGGAAACAGCUUGCUGUUUCGCUGACGAGUGGCGGACGGGUGAGUAAUGUCUGGGAAACUGCCUGAUGGAGGGGGAUAACUACUGGAAACGGUAGCUAAUACCGCAUAACGUCGCAAGACCAAAGAGGGGGACCUUCGGGCCUCUUGCCAUCGGAUGUGCCCAGAUGGGAUUAGCUAGUAGGUGGGGUAACGGCUCACCUAGGCGACGAUCCCUAGCUGGUCUGAGAGGAUGACCAGCCACACUGGAACUGAGACACGGUCCAGACUCCUACGGGAGGCAGCAGUGGGGAAUAUUGCACAAUGGGCGCAAGCCUGAUGCAGCCAUGCCGCGUGUAUGAAGAAGGCCUUCGGGUUGUAAAGUACUUUCAGUGGGGAGGAAGGGAGUAAAGUUAAUACCUUUGCUCAUUGACGUUACCCGCAGAAGAAGCACCGGCUAACUCCGUG